rnacentral:rRNA from 1 species
GAGUUUGAUCAUGGCUCAGGACGAACGCUGGCGGCGUGCCUAAUACAUGCAAGUAGAACGCUGAAGAGAGGAGCUUGCUCUUCUUGGAUGAGUUGCGAACGGGUGAGUAACGCGUAGGUAACCUGCCUUGUAGCGGGGGAUAACUAUUGGAAACGAUAGCUAAUACCACAUAACAAUGGAUGACACAUGUCAUUUAUUUGAAAGGGGCAAUUGCUCCACUACAAGAUGGACCUGCGUUGUAUUAGCUAGUAGGUGAGGUAACGGCUCACCUAGGCGACGAUACAUAGCCGACCUGAGAGGGUGAUCGGCCACACUGGGACUGAGACACGGCCCAGACUCCUACGGGAGGCAGCAGUAGGGAAUCUUCGGCAAUGGGGGCAACCCUGACCGAGCAACGCCGCGUGAGUGAAGAAGGUUUUCGGAUCGUAAAGCUCUGUUGUAAGUCAAGAACGAGUGUGAGAGUGGAAAGUUCACACUGUGACGGUAGCUUACCAGAAAGGGACGGCUAACUACGUGCCAGCAGCCGCGGUAAUACGUAGGUCCCGAGCGUUGUCCGGAUUUAUUGGGCGUAAAGCGAGCGCAGGCGGUUUGAUAAGUCUGAAGUUAAAGGCUGUGGCUCAACCAUAGUUCGCUUUGGAAACUGUCAAACUUGAGUGCAGAAGGGGAGAGUGGAAUUCCAUGUGUAGCGGUGAAAUGCGUAGAUAUAUGGAGGAACACCGGUGGCGAAAGCGGCUCUCUGGUCUGUAACUGACGCUGAGGCUCGAAAGCGUAGGGAGCGAACAGGAUUAGAUACCCUGGUAGUCCACGCCGUAAACGAUGAGUGCUAGGUGUUGGAUCCUUUCCGGGAUUCAGUGCCGCAGCUAACGCAUUAAGCACUCCGCCUGGGGAGUACGACCGCAAGGUUGAAACUCAAAGGAAUUGACGGGGGCCCGCACAAGCGGUGGAGCAUGUGGUUUAAUUCGAAGCAACGCGAAGAACCUUACCAGGUCUUGACAUCCCGAUGCUAUUUCUAGAGAUAGAAAGUUACUUCGGUACAUCGGUGACAGGUGGUGCAUGGUUGUCGUCAGCUCGUGUCGUGAGACGUUGGGUUAAGUCCCGCAACGAGCGCAACCCCUAUUGUUAGUUGCCAUCAUUCAGUUGGGCACUCUAGCGAGACUGCCGGUAAUAAACCGGAGGAAGGUGGGGAUGACGUCAAAUCAUCAUGCCCCUUAUGACCUGGGCUACACACGUGCUACAAUGGUUGGUACAACGAGUUGCGAGUCGGUGACGGCAAGCUAAUCUCUUAAAGCCAAUCUCAGUUCGGAUUGUAGGCUGCAACUCGCCUACAUGAAGUCGGAAUCGCUAGUAAUCGCGGAUCAGCACGCCGCGGUGAAUACGUUCCCGGGCCUUGUACACACCGCCCGUC